rnacentral:sRNA from 1 species
ACGCAAGAAAGGAGGUGGUCCAAGAGAUGGUUGAUCUUAGGACUGGCGAGGUGGCCGUCCGCUAGGACGACGCUCGCGUUCGCGCGACGUCGUUCGCAGCGAAUCCCAGACGGACACCCGGACCCCGGGCCGCCGGAACUCGUCCGACCGGCCCCGCCCCAGCGGCGGGAGCAGCCCGGGGUCUGCCCAUG